GGAGAUAUGCUGUUUAGAGCACUUAUGAUGCAGUGACUAACUACCAAAUAAAUAUAGAAAUCAGCUUGAAUUCACAGUUAUAUAAUGUAUACAUGAAAACCACUUGAAAAUGGAGAAAAGGCAUCAAGAAUCUUUACGUAAAAACUGGGUUUUUCUGAUGGAUAGUUUGAUUUUGGAAGAUCUUCUUGACUUAAUGAUAGAAAAAGAAAUUUUCACACCAAGUAUGGGAGAAGAAGUUAGUGUCAAACAGACAAAGAAAGAUAAAGCAACACAGUUUUUAUUCACCUUAAUUAGACGAGGACCUAAAGCUUUUGAUACAUUUAUAGAAUGUUUGAAUGAAUCCUCUCAAGACUUUAUAGCAGAAAAAUUAAUUACCACUUUAAAUGAAGAACCAAUGCAGUUAUAGUUUAUAAACAGUAUUUUUGUAAUACUUAAUCACAUUAAGCUUGACUUCCAUAUAUGACAAUUUACAUUACUCUUUUUUAAGUACUAUCAUACAUAAAUUCUGUAAAAAAAGUA